GACGAACGCUUGCGGCGUGCUUAACACAUGCAAGUCGAACGGAAAGGCCCUGCUUUUGUGGGGUGCUCGAGUGGCGAACGGGUGAGUAACACGUGAGUAACCUGCCCUUGACUUUGGGAUAACUUCAGGAAACUGGGGCUAAUACCGGAUAGGAGCUCCUGCUGCAUGGUGGGGGUUGGAAAGUUUCGGCGGUUGGGGAUGGACUCGCGGCUUAUCAGCUUGUUGGUGGGGUAGUGGCUUACCAAGGCUUUGACGGGUAGCCGGCCUGAGAGGGUGACCGGCCACAUUGGGACUGAGAUACGGCCCAGACUCCUACGGGAGGCAGCAGUGGGGAAUAUUGCACAAUGGGCGGAAGCCUGAUGCAGCAACGCCGCGUGCGGGAUGACGGCCUUCGGGUUGUAAACCGCUUUCGCCUGUGACGAAGCGUGAGUGACGGUAAUGGGUAAAGAAGCACCGGCUAACUACGUGCCAGCAGCCGCGGUGAUACGUAGGGUGCGAGCGUUGUCCGGAUUUAUUGGGCGUAAAGGGCUCGUAGGUGGUUGAUCGCGUCGGAAGUGUAAUCUUGGGGCUUAACCCUGAGCGUGCUUUCGAUACGGGUUGACUUGAGGAAGGUAGGGGAGAAUGGAAUUCCUGGUGGAGCGGUGGAAUGCGCAGAUAUCAGGAGGAACACCAGUGGCGAAGGCGGUUCUCUGGGCCUUUCCUGACGCUGAGGAGCGAAAGCGUGGGGAGCGAACAGGCUUAGAUACCCUGGUAGUCCACGCUGUAAACGGUGGGUACUAGGUGUGGGGUCCAUUCCACGGGUUCCGUGCCGUAGCUAACGCUUUAAGUACCCCGCCUGGGGAGUACGGCCGCAGGGCUAAAACUCAAAGGAAUUGACGGGGCCCCGCACAAGCGGCGGAGCAUGCGGAUUAAUUCGAUGCAACGCGUAGAACCUUACCUGGGUUUGACAUGGAUCGGGAGUGCUCAGAGAUGGGUGAGCCUCUUUUGGGGUCGGUUCACAGGUGGUGCAUGGCUGUCGUCAGCUCGUGUCGUGAGAUGUUAGGUUAAGUCCCGCAACGAGCGCAACCCUUGUUCACUGUUGCCAGCACGUUAUGGUGGGGACUCAGUGGAGACCGCCGGGGUCAACUCGGAGGAAGGUGGGGAUGACGUCAAGUCAUCAUGCCCCUUAUGUCCAGGGCUUCACGCAUGCUACAAUGGCUGGUACAGAGAGUGGCGAGCCUGUGAGGGUGAGCGAAUCUCGGAAAGCCGGUCUCAGUUCGGAUUGGGGUCUGCAACUCGACCUCAUGAAGUCGGAGUCGCUAGUAAUCGCAGAUCAGCAACGCUGCGGUGAAUACGUUCCCGGGGCU
rnacentral:rRNA from 1 species